GUUGACUAACCUUUUAAGAGUUUCCCCUAUGUUAAUGAUACAGAGAAGAUUAGCAUGGAUCCUGCACAAGGAUGACAUGCAAAUUGGUGAAGUGUUCCAUAUUUUU